AGUGAACGCUGGCGGUAGGCCUAACACAUGCAAGUCGAACGGCAGCACAGUAAGAGCUUGCUCUUACGGGUGGCGAGUGGCGGACGGGUGAGGAAUACAUCGGAAUCUACUUUUUCGUGGGGGAUAACGUAGGGAAACUUACGCUAAUACCGCAUACGACCUACGGGUGAAAGCAGGGGAUCUUCGGACCUUGCGCGAUUGAAUGAGCCGAUGUCGGAUUAGCUAGUUGGCGGGGUAAAGGCCCACCAAGGCGACGAUCCGUAGCUGGUCUGAGAGGAUGAUCAGCCACUCUGGAACUGAGACACGGUCCAGACUCCUACGGGAGGCAGCAGUGGGGAAUAUUGGACAAAGGGCGCAAGCCUGAUCCAGCCAUACCGCGUGGGUGAAGAAGGCCUUCGGGUUGUAAAGCCCUUUUGUUGGGAAAGAAAAGCAGCAGGUUAAUACCCCGCUGUUCUGACGGUACCCAAAGAAUAAGCACCGGCUAACUUCGUG
rnacentral:rRNA from 1 species